AUCCUCGAAAUUGGUACCCAUGGAAAUUAAUGAAUCAACAGUGCACAUAAUGAGAAUGUUUAUUUACAUAUUAUUGUUAAAUCUGCAUUUAUGAAUUAAAUAUUAUAGCCUGUUUUCUUGUUUUAAAACGUUAUUAAAUGAUUUACAAUUUAUAAAAUUGUGUAUUGCAAACUAGAUUGUUGAAACUGAUUAUAAUUGGAAAUCUGUUCAGGGUAAUAAACACAGAAAUUA
rnacentral:lncRNA from 1 species